UCCCUGGGGGUCUAGUGGUUAGGAUGCGAUGCUUUGACCACUGUGGUCCGGGUUCAAACCCUGGUCUGGGAA
rnacentral:tRNA from 1 species